CAUUAAUGAGUUUGAUAUGGGGUUUUGAAGCUGGCCUUCCGAGGCAAGUGCUCACCCCUAUUCAUCCAAUUAACCCCUGUGCACCUUUGUGGCGGGUAAGAUCCGAAAGGGUCGAGCCAGCUGCAUAUUUCAUUACAUACAUUGUAGUUCUGAAUGUCUAUUGCAAUUAUAAUGCAUUAAAUACAACUUUCAACAACGGAUCUCUUGGCUCUCGCAUCGAUGAAGAACGCAGCGAAAUGCGAUAAGUAAUGUGAAUUGCAGAAUUCAGUGAAUCAUCGAAUCUUUGAACGCACCUUGCGCUCCUUGGUAUUCCGAGGAGCAUGCCUGUUUGAGUGUCAUGAAUAUCUCAGNCCGAAAGUUGAAUUUUUGAAAUACAACUGAGGGUUGGACUUGGAGGUAUUGCUGGCCUAGAGUCAGCUCCUCUCUAAAUGUAUUAGCAAAAUCUUUCAAGAUGUAGCUCAGUGUGAUAAAUUAUCUUACAUUGUGCAUAUGCGUCUUGCUUGUGCUACCCUGCCUCUAGUGCGGAUGUGUGGCAAAAGAUUGAGCUUCUAACUGUCAUUAGACAAUUUAAUUGACAUCUGACCUCAAAUCAGGNAGGACUACCCGCUGAACUUAAGCAUAUCAAUAAGCGGAGGAAAAGAAACUAACAAGGAUUCCCCUAGUAACUGCGAGUGAAGCGGGAAAAGCUCAAAUUUAAAAUCUUCC
rnacentral:rRNA from 1 species